rnacentral:rRNA from 1 species
GCUGAACUUAAGCAUAUCAAUAAGCGGAGGAAAAGAAACUAACUAGGAUUCCCUUAGUAGCGGCGAGCGAACCGGGAAAAGCCCAACUUGUAAAUCAUUAGCCUUCGGCUAAUUGAAUUGUAGUCUCAAGGUGUGCUCUCUGUAGCAAGCAUUGCCCAAUUUUCCUUGGAAAAGGGAGUCAGAGAGGGUGAGAACCCCGUCGGCAAUUGCUUCAGCUACUCCACGAGACACUCCCUCAGAGUCGGGUUGCUUGGGAAUGCAGCCCUAAGUAGGUGGUAAAUCCCAUCUAAGGCUAAAUACUGACGGGAGACCGAUAGCGAACAAGUACCGUGAGGGAAAGAUGAAAAGAACUUUGAAAAGAGAGUCAAAAGUGCUUGAAAUUGUUGAGGGGGAAGGAAUUGGAAGCCGUGAGUGCUCCCUGGCUUAAGUGGGCAAUUCUGCCUAUUGUAUGCUCUGGGAGCCGGUCAGCAUCAGCUAUUGGACCGGGACAAUAACUGCUUUUGCAGUGCAUGUCGGCCCAAUGGCUGAGGAAUUGAAAGGCGCUCUUUGAGUCCUUCGGGAACCGCGCCUUCAAGAUGCUGGCAGAAGGCCUUCAAUUCGCCCGUCUUGAAACACGGACCAAGGAGUCUAACAUGUAUGCGAGCCGGUGGGUUUAACACCCAUGAGACGCAAGUAACCUGACUGGUGGGAUGGCUUGUGCCUGCACCAUCGACCGACCAUGAUCUUCUGUGAAAGGUUUGAGUACGAGCAUACCUGUUGGGACCCGAAAGAUGGUGAACUAUGCCUGAGCAGGGCGAAGCCAGAGGAAACUCUGGUGGAGGCUCGUAGAUGUGCUGACGUGCAAAUCGU